GUGUCAGCCGCCGCGGUAAUACGUAGGGUGCAAGCGUUAAUCGGAAUUACUGGGCGUAAAGCGUGCGCAGGCGGUUAUAUAAGUCAGAUGUGAAAUCCCCGGGCUCAACCUGGGAACUGCAUUUGAGACUGUAUGGCUAGAGUGUGUCAGAGGGGGGUAGAAUUCCACGUGUAGCAGUGAAAUGCGUAGAUAUGUGGAGGAAUACCGAUGGCGAAGGCAGCCCCCUGGGAUAACACUGACGCUCACGCACGAAAGCGUGGGGAGCAAACAGGAUUAGAUACCCUAGUAGUCC
rnacentral:rRNA from 1 species